CCUACGGGAGGCAGCAGUGAGGAAUAUUGGUCAAUGGACGAGAGUCUGAACCAGCCAAGUAGCGUGAAGGAUGACUGCCCUAUGGGUUGUAAACUUCUUUUAUAUGGGAAUAAAACGUUCCACGUGUGGGAUUUUGUAUGUACCAUAUGAAUAAGGAUCGGCUAACUCCGUGCCAGCAGCCGCGGUAAUACGGAGGAUCCGAGCGUUAUCCGGAUUUGUUGGGUUUAAAGGGAGCGUAGGUGGAUUGUUAAGUCAGUGGUAAAAUCGCGGGGCUCAACCUCGCUCCGCCGUUGAAACUGGCGUUCUUGAGUGGGCGAGAAGUAUGCGGAAUGCGUGGUGUAGCGGUGAAAUGCAUAGAUAUCACGCAGAACUCCGAUUGCGAAGGCCGCAUACCGGCGCUCAACUGACGCUCAUGCACGAAAGUGUGGGUAUCGAACAGGAUUAGAUACCCGAGUAGUC
rnacentral:rRNA from 1 species